UUUGUAAACUCGUGUUCAUAUAUAUCUACCAUAGUUUUCUACUUUAAUGAAUUUCUUGUUUAUGCUGAACCAAACAACAAUAAUAAAAAUGCUUCACUGUAACAAUUAGAGAGCAAUUGCCGCCCAUGCUGGAUGUCAAGGUCGAACUCCUCCUGUGUAAAUUUCCUCAUAUUAGCAAAUGUAGAUAAAUGGAGAAGGGUUGGGAUGUUUGUUUACCCUCAAAAUCGAAUAACAAUUAAAUUUGUAGUGGUUUUAAAGAUACGCUGAUUAAUUUGAUACUAAGUGACAAGUUGAGUUAGAUUGAACAAACAAAGAUGAAAUAAAUUCAAAUCACACGAGGAGGAUAAUUCCAGCCUUAGUGAAGUAUUCACCCCCGAUCUAGACUUGCAAUGGCCAACACUGAUGAACAAGAAAAAGAGCUAACAACAGAGAAAAUAAUAAUAUAUUGCUUUGGAAUGCGUGUAACAAUCUGUUUCAUGAAUUAUCAGACAUCCUUUUAUAUAGUAGGGGAGUCCUACUUUAGGUACAAUUUUGUAAAAGGUAAAAAAAUCUUUUGAUUAACUAACUGUCGGUUCUUUAUCGAUACGUGUCGAGAUCCCCGCUGUCACACCCCUUUUUUUACAAGCUUCACUAACCCUCUUAUAUAAAUAAAAAGAUUUAGUAAAGCUCGACAGGGUUUUUCAAUUAGAAAGUGACAAAAAAUUGUGUUCAAAAGAAAAUAACUCAGAGCCACCACCUGACAUUUGAUUUCGGUGUGUCCGGUCACCGUUUUUUUUUUCUAAAAAUAAUUUUUUCCUUUCAAAGCACUUGAGACUCCAAAACUAAGUCUGCACCAGAGAUUCGGGUAAGAGGUUCAUUUGACUCGGGGAGAAGGUGUUAGGCACUCCCCAAGUUCUGUAACUAGUACGGUUGCAUACUCGAUCUAGUUAGCUUUUAAAAUAUUCAAGUUGAGGUAAAGUCACAGAAAAGAAAAUACACACAAAAAGGCUAGAAGUCGUCCCCACCUAAUAAAAGAAAAAUAAAAAUAAAUAAAAGCUAGCCUACAUUAUACUUCCUCCAUGGUGUUCGUCACAGCUUCCAAAUACAUGUACUACGGGGGCAUACCCCGGAUAAAGUAUAUACAAAUCCUUCGGGGCAUUCCCCGGAUAAAUUUAACUAAGGGAACGACCUCUCGCCUCAUAAAUUCAAAUAAAAUCCUAAAGGUUUGCCUACCCAAGUGUGGCCGGCCGAGACAUGUUUCUAGCGGGUAAAUUAAUAAAUGCAAAGAAUGAAAUGAGGGAAAUCAACCUAAGCUAAAAUCAUUUUAAUCGCUAGUUAUCAAAAAAUCCGUCUUAGCAUCCCAAAUCGUUUUUGAAUCUUCAAAUCCCGAACCUCAAUCCCAUUUCUGUUCAUAAGCAUCAUCUAUCCAUUAAUUUCUAUGUGUGAUUCAGCACAUACAAGUAAUUCAAAGCCGACAUUACAAGUAACAAAUGUACAAGGACCUAGACCCCAACCAAAAAUAAGCAAACAAGCUCAACUAAAAUAAAACAAAAAGGCAAUUUGACAGAACUUAAACCAACCAAGAACAUUAAGCCAUUAUCAUGUAAUUAGUAUAGCACAUGAGAAAUAACAACACGCAUAAUAAAGAGAAGGAGAUGAGAGGGACCUCAAAAACAGAAUCUGAUUGCAACCGUUCGAAAGAUUGGAAGCAUGAAUACUCGAGAUGGCAUACAAGUACUUGACAGAAACUUUGGAACAAGACCUGGACCGGAAAAUCGAUUGGCGACCUCCAUCGGCAACAAGAACUCAAACUUUAAAAACGAGAAAAAAGCAGGAUGUAGCGGGUGACAAGUGAUAUGAAACUCGACUGGGCAGAAACAACUUUAGCAACAAAUGGCAAAUUCGACCUAAAACAAAACCUCUUAGAAAUCCAGAUUUUAGAAGCU
rnacentral:lncRNA from 1 species